rnacentral:rRNA from 1 species
GCUGUCGGCGUGCCUAAUACAUGCAAGUCGAGCGAGCGGAACUAACAGAUUUACUUCGGUAAUGACGUUAGGAAAGCGAGCGGCGGAUGGGUGAGUAACACGUGGGGAACCUGCCCCAUAGUCUGGGAUACCACUUGGAAACAGGUGCUAAUACCGGAUAAGAAAGCAGAUCGCAUGAUCAGCUUUUAAAAGGCGGCGUAAGCUGUCGCUAUGGGAUGGCCCCGCGGUGCAUUAGCUAGUUGGUAAGGUAAAGGCUUACCAAGGCGAUGAUGCAUAGCCGAGUUGAGAGACUGAUCGGCCACAUUGGGACUGAGACACGGCCCAAACUCCUACGGGAGGCAGCAGUAGGGAAUCUUCCACAAUGGACGCAAGUCUGAUGGAGCAACGCCGCGUGAGUGAAGAAGGUUUUCGGAUCGUAAAGCUCUGUUGUUGGUGAAGAAGGAUAGAGGUAGUAACUGGCCUUUAUUUGACGGUAAUCAACCAGAAAGUCACGGCUAACUACGUGCCAGCAGCCGCGGUAAUACGUAGGUGGCAAGCGUUGUCCGGAUUUAUUGGGCGUAAAGCGAGCGCAGGCGGAAGAAUAAGUCUGAUGUGAAAGCCCUCGGCUUAACCGAGGAACUGCAUCGGAAACUGUUUUUCUUGAGUGCAGAAGAGGAGAGUGGAACUCCAUGUGUAGCGGUGGAAUGCGUAGAUAUAUGGAAGAACACCAGUGGCGAAGGCGGCUCUCUGGUCUGCAACUGACGCUGAGGCUCGAAAGCAUGGGUAGCGAACAGGAUUAGAUACCCUGGUAGUCCAUGCCGUAAACGAUGAGUGCUAAGUGUUGGGAGGUUUCCGCCUCUCAGUGCUGCAGCUAACGCAUUAAGCACUCCGCCUGGGGAGUACGACCGCAAGGUUGAAACUCAAAGGAAUUGACGGGGGCCCGCACAAGCGGUGGAGCAUGUGGUUUAAUUCGAAGCAACGCGAAGAACCUUACCAGGUCUUGACAUCUAGUGUCAUUUGUAGAGAUACAAAGUUCCCUUCGGGGACGCUAAGACAGGUGGUGCAUGGCUGUCGUCAGCUCGUGUCGUGAGAUGUUGGGUUAAGUCCCGCAACGAGCGCAACCCUUGUUAUUAGUUGCCAGCAUUAAGUUGGGCACUCUAAUGAGACUGCCGGUGACAAACCGGAGGAAGGUGGGGAUGACGUCAAGUCAUCAUGCCCCUUAUGACCUGGGCUACACACGUGCUACAAUGGGCAGUACAACGAGAAGCGAGCCUGCGAAGGCAAGCGAAUCUCUGAAAGCUGUUCUCAGUUCGGACUGCAGUCUGCAACUCGACUGCACGAAGCUGGAAUCGCUAGUAAUCGCGGAUCAGCACGCCGCGGUGAAUACGUUCCCGGGCCUUGUACACACCGCCCGUCACACCAUGGGAGUCUGCAAUGCCCAAAGCCGGUGGCCUAACCUUCGGGAAGGAGCCGUCUAAGGCAGGGCAGAUGACUGGGGUG